GUAGGUGGCAAGCGUUGUCGGGAAUUAUUGGGCGUAAAGCGCGCGCAGGCGGUUCGUUUAAGUCUGAUGUGAAAGCCCACGGGCUCAACCGUGGAGGGUCAUUGGAAACUGGAGAACUUGAGUACAGAAGAGGAAAGCGGAAUUCCACGUGUAGCGGUGAAAUGCGUAGAGAUGUGGAGGAACACCAGUGGCGAAGGCGGCUUUCUGGUCUGUAACUGACGCUGAGGCGCGAAAGCGUGGGGAGCAAACAGGAUUAGAUACCCUGGUAGUCCACGCCGUAAACGAUGAGUGCUAAGUGUUAGGGGGUUUCCGCCCCUUAGUGCUGCAGCUAACGCAUUAAGCACUCCGCCUGGGGAGUACGGCCGCAAAGGCUG
rnacentral:rRNA from 1 species